GAGUUUGAUCGUGGCUCAGAUUGAACGCUGGCGGCAUGCCUUACACAUGCAAGUCGAACGGCAGCACGGGAGCUUGCUCCUGGUGGCGAGUGGCGAACGGGUGAGUAAUGCAUCGGAACGUAUCCUGGAGUGGGGGAUAACGUAGCGAAAGUUACGCUAAUACCGCAUAUUCUGUGAGCAGGAAAGCGGGGGACCUUCGGGCCUCGCGCUCUUGGAGCGGCCGAUGUCGGAUUAGCUAGUUGGUGAGGUAAAGGCUCACCAAGGCGACGAUCCGUAGCAGGUCUGAGAGGAUGAUCUGCCACACUGGAACUGAGACACGGUCCAGACUCCUACGGGAGGCAGCAGUGGGAAUUUUGGACAAGUGGGGGCAACCCUGAUCCAGCCAUGCCGCGUGAGUGAAGAAGGCC
rnacentral:rRNA from 3 species